CUUGUCCGUAUUUUCUUUUUUCUUUCAAUAGAAUUAUAUGUAUAUCUAAUUCAUGUCUACGCUUUUACUAAUAAGGUCUCCGCUAAAAUUGAGCACUGCCAAUUGUACGUUUUCAAAGUUAAGUUAAAAUCAUUCUCUUCGCCGAAAAAAUUGUUCGUGUACCCGUAACCCGUGUGUUCCUCGAUAACGUAAAUACCGGUCGGGUCCGAGUGCGCUCGUCGUCGUCGUCG